GGCUCGAAAGGGAAUCACUUUCAUUUUAGCUCAGCGAGGCGCAUUCCUGACUUCUGGCCUCCAGAACUGUAAGACAAUAAAUGUCUGUUGUAGUCACUGUGUUUCUGGUCUUUUAUUAUAGCGGCCGCAGGGAACAAAUACAGCUGCUCAGUGGAAGCAACAGCUGAGCCUGGGGCCCCGUCGCUGGAGCCCAACACACUCCACCGAGACCACAGUCCCCAUCUGCACAAGUGCAGCCCUUACUUCCUUGCUGUGUGACCCCAGCCAAGUCGUGAACUUCCCUGAGCCUCCGCUUCCUCCUGCGCCAAGCGGGGAUAAUGAUAAUGCCCAUCUCGUUGUCUGUACAUGCAGGUGGCAACACCACAUAAGCUCACUAUUUAUAUUCUGCUGUUUUCCGUUACGAAUGAUAAGUUUUGAGCUUCUUCAAGUUGCUUUUCAUACCUUCUUUGUGGAGUGGUAGAACCCUUGAAAACUUCAGACCCUCUGAAUUCAUCAAGAUAAGGACAAGGAAAUGUUCCAUGCCACCGCAGCCACGGCAGAGCAGAUACAAAUCUGCUUGUCAAACUGCCC
rnacentral:lncRNA from 10 species